UACAGAGGUCUCAAGCGUUGUUCGGAUUCAUUGGGCGUAAAGGGUGCGUAGGCGGCGCGGUAAGUCGGGUGUGAAAUCUCGGAGCUUAACUCCGAAACUGCAUUCGAUACUGCCGUGCUUGAGGACUGGAGAGGAGACUGGAAUUUACGGUGUAGCGGUGAAAUGCGUAGAUAUCGUAAGGAAGACCAGUGGCGAAGGCGGCAUCCUGGACCGACAUUGACGCUGAUGAGCGAAAGCUAGGGGAGCAAACGGG
rnacentral:rRNA from 1 species